AGACAAUGGACUUACUUGUCA
rnacentral:misc_RNA from 1 species